GCAUCAUACCCUUUCUUGUAAAGACUGUUGUCAUUUAAGAUAUAACUUGAAAAUUCAGGGACGAAAGAGAUCAAGGUGCCUGGGUGGAUUCCAGGGGGAACUUCAUUUUCCGAAUUGUAUCUUACAAUGUAGUACGGGUUCUUGACAGGGCCAAAAAUCUCAUCUACUAUACCGAGUGGAAAUCUGCUUUCUGUUAUCCAGAGAAUAGAACCAUCACAAAGAGGAGUAUGCUUCUCCACCCCUUCUACUACAACUUGGGCACCAAUAGUCGACGACACAACUCCUACAGGCUGCAUCUGGUGAUGUGGUUGCAAGGUUGCAGUCACUUCCGGAACUGGGGGUAGAACCUGAACCUCAUUCUUAGACCUGAUAGGCCCCUUAACACCAGUGUCCUCAUCGU
rnacentral:misc_RNA from 1 species